GGAAUCCUAUAUUUUAUGGCUAAUAUCCACUUAAAAGUGAGUAAAUACCAUGCAUGGGUUUGGGUUACCUCACCCAGGAAGUAUUUUCUAGGUUCAUCCAUUUGCCUACAAAAUUCAUGAUUUCCUUGUUUUAACAGCUGAGUAGUGUCCCAUUGUGUGAUUUAACCACAUUAAAAAAAAAAAAUCCAUUCUUCGGUUGAAGGACAUUUAGGUUGUUUCCAGUUUCUGGUUGUUAUGAAUAAAGCUGCCACUAACAUAGUUGAGCAAGUGUCCUGUGGGAUGGUGGAGCAUCUUUUGGGUAUAUGCCCUUCCUGGGCUCUUUUGCUGAUCUCUUAUAUCCAGCUCAUCUCAAGUGAUCCUUCUUUUAGGCCAAUUUUUUUAAAACUUGUUUUCAAUACUUUAUAAUUUUUUUCUAUUUAUAGGUUGGCCAACCCCCUGUCUUUUGGUAUAGGGUUGUUUAUUAUUUUAUUUGUUGUAUGAGAGGCUAGAACCGCUUCAAAUAAAUAGCGUUCUCUUGUCUCUUCUGUUUUUGUGUUUGCCUAAAGACUCAUUAAGCAAUGGUUGACGCCAAAGGCUUUUUCAGCAGUAAUCUUCUGUUAUUGUGAAGGUAUACUAUUGAUGUAGUUAUAAAUAUGAAGGGAAAAGAGAUUUAUCAGUUGAUACAUAGGUUUAAGGGACCCUCAGUUGAAUAUUUUUCCAUCUGUUACUAAAAACUAGAGGGGCCUAUGUGGAGUACUUUUCCUCCUCUAGAUCUGUUAAGCCUUACUAAAAUUAUGAUUUGAAGAAAAUAGUUUUCUUAGUGGUAGUACUUGUGGGAGACAUAAUCAGCAGUGUUUGGAUUACCUAUUUUUGGUUAUAAGGAUAGGAGUAGUAACUUGAAGUUCUUCUACAUUUUGGACCAUUUUUUUUCGAGAGCUCUAAUGUAUAAAUUCUCUUAUUUUAAAUUUUGUGUCUUUUCCUAUUCAGUAUUCAACAUUUUAAGAUCUGUUAAUGCUUUUUGGGUAAUUUUCCUGAAUCUGUUUUUCCUGUUUACUGAGUUUUCUUUUCAGUAUGUCUAAUCUCCUGCCUACCUCAUUUGUUGGAGUUUUUCUUAACAACCAGGAAACUCCCAUGUCUAGAUCUUUGAUGAGUUUUACUUUUCUGGAUCUGAAUGCUAGAUAAUUGUUGCAUGGUUACAUCAAUCAAUUUUUCUUCAUUCAUAUAGGUACAUUAAGAAAUAUACCUAUAAAAAUUUGUUAUUGGCCAGCCUGGUUUACAAAAUGAGUUCUAGGACAUCCAGGGCUACACAGAGAAACCCUGUCUCAAAAAACCCCC
rnacentral:lncRNA from 1 species